rnacentral:rRNA from 1 species
UACGUAGGGGGCAAGCGUUAUCCGGAUUUACUGGGUGUAAAGGGAGCGUAGACGGAAUAGCAAGUCUGAUGUGAAAACCCGGGGCUCAACUCCGGGAGUGCAUUGGAAACUGUUGAUCUAGAGUGUCGGAAAGGCAAGCGGAAUUCCUAGUGUAGCGGUGAAAUGCGUAGAUAUUAGGAGGAACACCAGUGGCGAAGGCGGCUUGCUGGACGAUGACUGACGUUGAGGCUCGAAAGCGUGGGGAGCAAACAGG